GAUGAACGCUGGCGGCGUGCCUCAAACAUGCAAGUCGAGCGGGGCUAUGUAAUAUCGCAAGGUAGAACAUAGCCUAGCGGCGAACGGGUGAGUAACACGUGGGUAACCUGCCUGGAAGACAGGGAUAACGAUUCGAAAGGGUCGCUAAUACCUGAUAAUAUCCUUUCAUCGCAUGGUGAUAGGAAGAAGGGGAAACCCGCUUUCAGAUGGGCCCGCGUCCCAUCAGCUAGUUGGUAAGGUAAAGGCUUACCAAGGCGACGACGGGUAGCCGGUCUGAGAGGAUGUACGGCCACACUGGGACUGAGAUACGGCCCAGACUCCUACGGGAGGCAGCAGUUGGGAAUCUUAGGCAAUGGACGAAAGUCUGACGGAGCGACGCCGCGUGGAUGAAGAAGGCCGAAAGGUUGUAAAGUCCUUUUGUUGGGGAAGAAUAAGCGCGGGAGGGAAUGCCCGCGUGAUGACAUGAACCGACGAAUAAGCCCCGGCUAACUACGUGCCAGCAGCCGCGGUAAGG
rnacentral:rRNA from 1 species